GCGGAAGUAGCUCAGUUGGUAGAGCGUCUGCCUUCCAAGCAGGCUGUCGCGAGUUCGAGUCUCGUCUUCCGCU
rnacentral:tRNA from 10 species